GGAUGUGAGGCCGGUCUGGCUUUGACAUCUGGAUUGCCAGGGUUUACUCGGCUGACCUGGCUGGCUAGGUGAGUGUUCCCUUCCUGCCUUACUGCUAAGCUGCACACUUUCCCCAUAUGGAGGAGGACCAGUCUUCAGUCAAGUGUACACAAGUAGCUGAUCUCCCCUGCUUGAACCUCCAAACAAGCUUUCAAGGUUCUGUUCUGUUCUUUUCUUUUGAGACAGGGUCUUUCUAUUUAGUCCUAGCUGUCUUGGAAUUCACUAAGUAGACCAGCUGGCCUUGAACU
rfam:Cricetulus griseus cell line CHO-K1, whole genome shotgun sequence.